rnacentral:rRNA from 1 species
AGAGUGAACGCUGGCGGCAGGCCUAACACAUGCAAGUCGAACGGCAGCACAGUAAGAGCUUGCUCUUAUGGGUGGCGAGUGGCGGACGGGUGAGGAAUACAUCGGAAUCUGCCUAUUUGUGGGGGAUAACGUAGGGAAACUUACGCUAAUACCGCAUACGACCUACGGGUGAAAGCGGAGGACCUUCGGGCUUCGCGCAGAUAGAUGAGCCGAUGUCGGAUUAGCUAGUUGGUGGGGUAAGGGCCCACCAAGGCGACGAUCCGUAGCUGGUCUGAGAGGAUGAUCAGCCACACUGGAACUGAGACACGGUCCAGACUCCUACGGGAGGCAGCAGUGGGGAAUAUUGGACAAUGGGCGCAAGCCUGAUCCAGCCAUGCCGCGUGAGUGAAGAAGGCCCUUGGGUAGUAAAGCUUCUUUUGUUGGGAAGAAAAGCAAUCGGUUAAUACCCGGUUGUUCUGACGGUAACCCAAAGAAUAAGCAACCGGCUAACUUCGUGCCAGCACG